GCUACCCACUUGAGUCAAUUAUUUCAAUACAACUACACAUUUUUUCUCUAUGCAUUAACAUCAACGCACAUUUUCGGGUUAUUUUUUGUUUGCGAUGAAAAAAAGUUUGUUUCAUUUCUUGAUUUAUUUGAAUGAGUGCGAAGGAGAAAACAUUAUUGUCAAUAGUGACAAUAGAAAAUCCCAAAGAGGGUAAUAAAAAAACGAUUGAAAGACGCAUGUCGUUCGUGAUCGUACCAUCGUAAAGGAGGCUCAUACAACAAGAAGCUUUGGAAAUCAGAACUGAAUUGGAAGUAGCAACAGCUAUGUACACAUAUCAUCAGAAGCAGGCAAAUAUCAAUUGUUAAAUAUUAUUAUGAUUUUUAUACUCUCGCAACAAGUUGCUAAGGAGAGUAUUAUAGUUUUGUUCACAUAACGGUUGUUUGUAAGUCCUAAAACUAAAAGAGUCAGAUAUGGGGUUAUAUAUACCAAAGUGAUCAGGGUGACGAGUAGAGUUGAAAUCCGGAUGUCUGUCUGUCCGUCCGUCUGUCCGUCCGUCCGUGCAAGCUGUAACUUGAGUAAAAAUUGAGAUAUCAUGCUGAAACUUGGUACACGUAUUUGAUGGCUCCAUAAGAAGGUUAAGUUCGAAGAUGGGCAAAAUCGGCCCACUGCCACGCCCACAAAAUGGCGGAAACCGAAAACAUAUAAACUGUCAUAACUAAGCCAUAAAUAAAGAUAUUAAAGUGAAAUUUGGCACAAAGGAUCGCAUUAAGGAGGGGCAUAUGUGGACGUAAUUUUUUUGGAAAAGUGGGUGUGGCCCCGCCCGCUACUAAGUUUUUUGUAUAUAUCUCAGAAACUACUAUAGCUAUGUCAACCAAACUCUACAGAGCCGUUUCCUUCAGGCAUUUCCAUAAACAGUUCAAAAAUGGAAGAAAUCGGAUAAUAACCACGCCCACUUCCCAUACAAAGGUUAUGUUGAAACUCACUAAAAGUGCGUUAACCGACUAACAAAAAACGUCAGAAACACUAAAUUUUACGGAAAAAAUGGCAGAAAGAAGCUGCACCCAAGCUUUUUUUAAAAAUUGAAAAUGGGUGUGGCGUCGCCCACUUAUGGACCUAAAACCAUAUCUCAGGAACUCCUCGACCGAUUUCAAUGAAAUUCGGUAUAUUAUGUUUUCUUAACACCUUGAUGACGUGUACGAAAUAGGGGUGAAAUCGGUUCACAACCACGCCUUCUUCCAAUAUAACGCUAUUUUGAGUUCCAUCUGAUGCCUUCUCUGUAUAAUAUUUCCGUAGCAUCUAUGGUUCGAAAUUGGGCGAAAUAUAUUCACAACCACGCCUACUUCCCAUAUACCACAAUUUUGAAGUCCAUCUGAUUCGUUCACGUUAAAGUAUAUAAGUUCAACACGAGUGAAGAUAACGGACCAAAACUUUUCACAAAUACUGUAUUUCUGGUGUAGCAUAGCCCGAAUAAAAAUCACCGAGAUCAGACCAUUUUAUUGAAAAUAUCGGUAAAUAUCUCAGAUAUUCUAAACAUAUUCAUAACAUGCCAAAAAUGGGCAAAAUCAAGCCAAUAUUUCUUCUUGCCCCCACAUACCUCUUAUUUGAUUUUCACAAUUCUAGUGGACUUUGUGCCGAAUAUAUUGGUCAAAUUUUGAAUUACCUUAAUAAAUUUGCAUGGAAAUAUGUUCAUACUUAAGUCAACGUGUUGGCCCCCAUAUACAUAUGUAAUAACAUGAUUUCUGCCUUUACUUUUUACUUUACGCCGAAUAUGUAUAUUGCGUACUUCCUAAGAUAUCUUUAAAAUAUUAUAAGAAUACAUAUAUGUGACCUGGAAAACGGAAAGGGGGCUUAGGUGUCAAAAAAUUAAUUUUCACUUUUUAGUUGGUUCGGAUGGAAGAUGAGAUGCUUUUUCACGUGAUAGAAUCCAAAAAGUCAUAACUUGUUUGAAAGUUAGCUCCUUUUUCGUGGACCAGGUCACAUAUUAUACAUUAAAUUUUUUAGGCACAUGUAAAAUCCAACUAUAUUUGAAAGUCAGUAAGAAAUACUAACGUAAAUUAAUAGUAGUCUAGUAUCAAAGGCACGCAAUUAGAAAACCUGCUUUUCAGAUGGACCAAAUUAGUAUUAAUUGUUUUAAUUUGGCUUAUGCGAAAAAAUCGCGAUUUACAAAGCUCCAUAGAUAGCUUAUGGACGGUUUAGGUAUUAAGACACAGAUGUGUACAUAGACCUAAUAAUUUACAAUAUUUAGCAUAUAUAUUUAAUGGGAAUUAGUAUUUAUUCUUUAAAGUUGUUUUCAAUGUAUUUGGCUGCAAAUCCCCUUACUCAAAUGUUAUUGAAUAAUUUUUAAAACAAAAAUGGCUUACCUACCUGUGUCUAUUCAUAACAACUCAAACUUUCAACCUUGAUAUAUGGUAUACUUAAAAAUUGUUUUCACAAAUUUUCUACCUACAUAGUUUAGCCUUCACGAGCGAACUUUUGCGGAAGAUGAACUCCUUUGUUUCAGAAAGCAUUAAAAAAAGCAAUUUACGUAGGAGUUUUCCGUGUAAAUACUUUCAAGGCUAUUAAGCAAAUUACUAAUUUCUAAGAGAUAUAUAUAUGUAUGUACUAUACGAGUAUAUGUAUAAUUUAUAUAUUAUUAUGCUAUAUGUUUAUACUUUCAGUUACAGUAAAUAACUUGAGUAGUGAAGUCUACAUUUUUAGCUGAAGUUUUAAUUAAUUAAGUGAAAAUUUACCAUAGUGGUGUUAGCAUCAUAAAUCAUAUCAAUAUAAUAAAAUAUAGAACGAAUCUAUAUCAUCAUCCACUUGAAAAGAAGACUGAAAGAAGACCAGCAAGUUACCCUAAAAAGAGAACACAGGAGUCAUUCGGAAGAAAAAUCAGAAAGUAUUUACACACUUGUUUUAAUAGAUUAUGAUUAAAUUAUUUAUUAUACUCUCGCAACAAUGUUGCUAAGGAGAGUAUUAUAGUUUUGUUCACAUAACGGUUGUUUGUAAGUCCUAAAACUAAAAGAGUCAGAUAUAGGGUUAUAUAUACCAAAUCGAUCAGGGUGACGAGUAGAGUCGAAAUGCGGAUGUCUGUCUGUCCGUCCGUCCGUCUGUCCGUCCGUCCGUGCAAGCUGUAACUUGAGUAAAAAUUGAGAUAUCAUGAUGAAACUUGGUACACGUAUUCCUUGGCUCCAUAAGAAGGUUAAGUUCGAAGAUGGGCAAAAUCGGCCCUCUGCCACGCCCACAAAAUGGCGGAAACCGAAAACCUAUAAAGUGUCAUAACUAAGCCAUAAAUAAAGAUAUUAAAGUGAAAUUUGACACAAGGGAUCGCAUUUGGCUAUGUCAACCAAACUCUACAGAGUCGUUUUCUUCAGGUAUUUCCAUAUACAGUUCAAAAAUGGAAGAAAUCGGAAAAUAACCACGCCCACCUCCCAUACAAAGGUUAUGUUGAAAAUCACUAAAAGUGCGUUAACGGACUAACAAAAAACGUCAGAAACACUAAAUUUUACGGAAGAAAUUGCAAAAGGAAGCUGCACCCAGGCUUUUUUAAAAAUUGAAAAAUGGGCGUGGCCUCGCCCACUUAUGGACCAAAAACCAUAUCUCAGGAACUACUAGACCGAUUUCAAUGAAAUUCGGUAUAUAAUAUUUUCUUAACACCCUGAUGACGUGUAGGAAAUAUGGGUGAAAUCGGUUCACAACCACGCCUUCUUCCAAUAUAACGCUAUUUUGAAUUCCAUCUGAUGCUUUCUCUGUAUAAUAUAUAGUACAUUAGGAACCAAUGAUGACAGCG